UUGAUGGCGACCGGUCGCACGGGUGAGUAACGCGUAUCCAACCUUCCCUAUAGUAGUGGAUAGCCCGGCGAAAGUCGGAUUAAUACACUAAUGUUAUCAACGAGGACAUCUGAAAUGAAUCAAAGGUUUACCGCUAUAGGAUGGGGGAUGCGUCUGAUUAGAUAGUAGGCGGGGUAACGGCCCACCUAGUCGACGAUCAGUAGGGGUUCUGAGAGGAAGGUCCCCCCACAUUGGAACUGAGACACGGUCCAAACUCCUACGGGAGGCAGCAGUGAGGAAUAUUGGUCAAUGGGCGCGAAGCCUGAACCAGCCAAGUAGCGUGCAGGAUAGACGGCCCUAUGGGUUGUAAACUGCUUUUAUACGGGGAUAAAGUGCACCACGUGUGGUGUUUUGUAGGUACCGUAUGAAUAAGGACUGGCUAAUUCCGUGCCAGCCGCCGC
rnacentral:rRNA from 1 species